UUUUUCCGCCGCGCGCCACCAGAAUGUCCCUGUCUUGAGGUCUAAUGGCGGACGCCAGUAUGUUGGAGUUGGUGGUGGCUUAAGUUUUGAAGGGAGGUAGCAUCCGUUGGAUAUCCACACCAUCCUUCUCGCUGCAGGUAGAGACGGGGUUUCACUGUGUUAGCCAGGAUGGUCUCGAUCUCCUGACCUUGAUCCACCCGCCUUGGCCUCCCAAAGUGUUGGGAUUACAGGUGUGAGACACCGCGCCCGGCCCAGACGUGGGGGAAGUUUUAAAGCUUACCAAAUUUAUCUGCUUUCUUGGACUCCGUACUGUUGGUGUAACCAAGGCCUGGAGGUCUGGGUGGCUCAGGUUUCCUGCAGCCAUGUUUCUGUACAACUUAACCUUGCAGAGAGCCACUGGCAUCAGCUUUGCCAUUCAUGGAAACUUUUCUGGAACCAAACAACAAGAAAUUG
rnacentral:lncRNA from 10 species